rnacentral:rRNA from 1 species
GGAGGGUGCAAGCGUUAAUCGGAAUUACUGGGCGUAAAGCGCACGCAGGCGGUCUGUUAAGUCAGAUGUGAAAUCCCCGGGCUUAACCUGGGAACUGCAUUUGAAACUGGCAGGCUUGAGUCUCGUAGAGGGGGGUAGAAUUCCAGGUGUAGCGGUGAAAUGCGUAGAGAUCUGGAGGAAUACCGGUGGCGAAGGCGGCCCCCUGGACGAAGACUGACGCUCAGGUGCGAAAGCGUGGGGAGCAAACAGGAUUAGAUACCCUGGUAGUCCACGCCGUAAACGAUGUCGACUUGGAGGUUGUUCCCUUGAGGAGUGGCUUCCGGAGCUAACGCGUUAAGUCGACCGCCUGGGGAGUACGGCCGCAAGGUUAAAACUCAAAUGAAUUGACGGGGGCCCGCACAAGCGGUGGAGCAUGUGGUUUAAUUCGAUGCAACGCGAAGAACCUUACCUACUCUUGACAUCCAGAGAACUUUCCAGAGAUGGAUUGGUGCCUUCGGGAACUCUGAGACAGGUGC